GACGAACGCUGGCGGCGUGCUUAACACAUGCAAGUCGAACGAUGACGCCCGAACUUUCUCGGUCGGAUGAGUGGCGAACGGGUGAGUAACACGUGAGCAACCUGCCCUUCACUCUGUGAUAACCUCAAGAAAUUGGGGCUAAUACCGGAUAUGAGCUCCUGUCGCAUGGCGGGUGUUGGAAAGUUUUUCGGUGAAGGGUUGGCUCGCGGCCUAUCAGUUUGUUGGUGGGGUAGUGGCUCACCAAGGCGAUGACGGGUAGCCGGCCUGAGAGGGCGACCGGCCACACUGGGACUGAGACACGGCCCAGACUCAUACGGGAGGCAGCAGUGGGGAAUAUUGCACAAUGGGCGAAAGCCUGAUGCAGCGACGCCGCGUGCGGGAUGACGGCCUUCGGGUUGUAAACCUCUUUCAGCAGGGAAGAAGCGAAAGUGACGGUACCUGGAGAAGAAGCGCCGGCUAACUACGUG
rnacentral:rRNA from 1 species